GGGGGGGGCAAGCGUUGUUCGGAAUUACUGGGCGUAAAGGGCUCGUAGGCGGCCAACUAAGUCAGACGUGAAAUCCCCAGGCUCAACCUGGGAACUGCGUCUGAUACUGGAUGGCUUGAAUUCGGGAGAGGGAUGCAGAAUUCCAGGUGUAGCGGUGAAAUGCGUAGAUAUCUGGAGGAAUACCGGUGGCGAAGGCGGCAUCCUGGACUGACAUUGACGCUGAGGAGCGAAAGCUAGGGGAGCAAACGGGAUUAGAUACCCCGGUAGUCCUAGCCCUAAACGAUGAAUGCUUGGUGUAACGGGUAUCGAUCCCUGUUGUGCCGAAGCUAACGCAUUAAGCAUUCCGCCUGGGGAGUACGGUCGCAAGGCUGAA
rnacentral:rRNA from 1 species